UAUCGAUAACGUAAAAGUUAACUCAAAUUUGUAUGGAGUUGGAACGUUUGCCUAUUUUUGCCGUCAGGGUCGCUGUUCCAACUGUAUACUAAUUUUGAGUUAACUUUUACGCUCUCGA
rnacentral:pre_miRNA from 9 species